rnacentral:sRNA from 1 species
CCUCAAAAGAAUCUAUGAUUUGGACUACUACUUGGAAGUUGGUUCGUCGGGUGAACUGAACUUUUACAGGUUUAAGAAUCAUAUAUAUGAAAGUUGGCCAACUCUCUCCAUAUGAUUGACACAUCAUCACUUUAACAUUUGCCAUGUGUCCACUGAAUAAUUAAUGUAAGCUCUUCAACUUUUAAUUUAUAGAUUAAUGAUGUAUUUAUU